rnacentral:tRNA from 1 species
GCCCGGUUAGUUCAGUCGUUAGAAUAUCACAUAUUAAUCGUGAAGACGCGGGUUCAACUCCUGCACUGGGCU